GGAUCAUUACAAAACAGAGUAUUCGUACUCUAUAACCCAUUGUGAACAUACCUUUUGUCAGUUGCUUCGGCGGGAGGCCCCUGGGAGGGGCCCCGGGGCCCGGACCUGAGCCGGGCUCCCGCCGGAGUGGCGCCCCACUUAAACUCAUGCUGUACAGUGAUACUUCCGAGUCAAAACAAAUAAACAAGUUAAAACUUUCAACAACGGAUCUCUUGGUUCUGGCAUCGAUGAAGAACGCAGCGAAAUGCGAUAAGUAAUGUGAAUUGCAGAAUUCAGUGAAUCAUCGAAUCUUUGAACGCACAUUGCGCCCGCCAGCAUUCUGGCGGGCAUGCCUGUUCGAGCGUCAUUUCAACCCCUCAGGCCCUGGUGCCUGGCGUCGGGGCUUCUCCUGUGCCUGGCGCAGGAGGCCCUCAGAAACAGUGGCGGACCCGCCGCGGCUCCGAGCGCAGUAGUAAAAUUCUCGCUUAGGUCUCGCGGGGGGAUUUCCCGGCCGUUAAACCAGCCCCUCAGGGCUAAUCUAUACAAGGUUGACCUCGGAUCAGGUAGGAAUACCCGCUGAACUUAAGCAUAUCAAUAAGCGGAGGAAAAGAA
rnacentral:rRNA from 1 species